rnacentral:rRNA from 1 species
UACGAAGGGUGCAAGCGUUAUUCGGAAUGAUUGGGCGUAAAGGGUGCGUAGGCGGCUUAUUAAGUCAAUCGUUUAAUCUUUCGGCCUAACCGAAAAUCGGCGGUAGAUACUGAUGAGCUAGAGGAUGGAAGAGAGAAGUGGAAUUCUCGGAGUAGCGGUAAAAUGCGUAGAUCUCGAGAGGAACACCGAUGGCGAAGGCAGCUUCUUGGUCCAUUUCUGACGCUGAGGCACGAAAGCGUGGGGAGCAAACAGG